GCUAAUAUUGUGGAUACACCGAAACCUUCUGACCAAAUGAGAGGCUCAUCUGUGACCAGAUGCACUGGUUUUCCCCUUCAUUAGACGGGAGGGUGAUAUGUUUCAAGGCCUCGAGCUCCGAGUUGAUCUUUUAUUCAUGCAAACCAUGUACACUUCUGAUGAAGCAAUUAUCUCACAAGCAAAUCGCUUUUGUGUUGUCUGUUAAACAAUACGCAAUCGCAUCAAUAUUUCUCUUUCAAACUCAUUAAAAGCAUCAUACUGA